CAUGUUUUUCUAUAAAUGAUUGAGAUUCAGAUUUCAAACUCUUUAAAUAAGUUAGGUCAGAAUUUGGUGAACAUUUUAAUUCUAGCUCAAUCAGCUUCGCUAGUUCCUAUAUUUAAUUUUGGAUAGAAUUAUUGAAAUUUGACUUGCAAUAGUAUUAGAUAACUUGUACCAUAUAAAUGUAGAGUAUAAUAAUGGUAUGGUUUUGUUCUAUAAUCUAAAACAAAUCAUUACUGAUUAUACUAUACUACUACAAGUCUAGAGAAAUCGUGCGGUACAUACACAACAAAAGAGAACAUCAAAUUAAAAAAGAAAUCUUGGUUGGUCGGAGCACGAGGUUCCGUCUAAAAAACAAUGAGAAGUAAGACAUAGAGGAAUGACACGUGGCGUGAUGUUGAAAGCUCCCUAUGGAGAUGUACAAUACAAGCCUCUCAAGGAUAUUCUUCAGGACAAUUUCUCCACUGCGUUUCAAACCUUCUCUCUCUAUCUUUGGAGAAGAAAGAGAUUCAUCUUCUUCCUCUUCAAUUCUGAGAUUUGAUCUGAAAAACCAGAUAACGAUGACAAUCUUAUGCAACAAUGGACGCAAAAGAGACAAGAGGAGAAUAAAAGAGAAAGAAAAGUUGAAAGAAGAGAAUCAUCAUAAUCAUCAUCAAUGUUGUUGUUAUUGCGUGUUGCCUACGUUUUCAAUAGUCAGAGGAAUAAAGAGAUGUCUCUUCCUCUCAUGCUAUCCAUUUAUUCGUUGCUUAGGGUAUGAAGACAGAAGACAUCGUCACCAUCUUCACAACCACAAUCAUUUUCUAUGAUUCCUCGUUUUGUGUAUGUGUGAAGAUUACUAUUAAACAUCUUGAAAACACCUUGAUUUUCAGAUAAAAAACAUGUAAACAAUCAAAUAAAGGAAUCAAGAUAUUGAAAUGUU